CAUGGCCACCACCCGGGCCCCUGCGCAGCACACCUCUCUCUCUUUCUUUCUACAUUCCCAAUACCCCUUAUUCCUAAUUCAAUAAUUUCUACCGUGCACAACAAGCGAGCAGACAUUGCUUAUGUGGAGAGAUGUUAGCUAGCACUCGCACUGUGGUAUAGCAUGUCUUGUGGUGUGGCUACUUGUUGCUGCAGGGUAUCUUAUAG
rnacentral:lncRNA from 1 species